CGCCUCUUGCUAACAAAGGAAGUACUAGAGGUCCCGCCUGCCCUGUGACCACAAAGUUUAACGGCCGCGGUAUCCUGACCGUGCGAAGGUAGCGUAAUCAUUUGUCUUUUAAAUAGAGACCUGUAUGAAUGGCAUAACGAGGGUUUAACUGUCUCCUUCCCCUAGUCAAUGAAAUUGAUCUGCCCGUGCAGAAGCGGACAUAAACACAUAAGACGAGAAGACCCUAUGGAGCUUUAGACAAAAGAUCAAACAUGUAAAGAAACCAAACCAACCAAAAGGAACACGAAGGCCACAAAACCCAACGUAAACUGAUCUAAAUGUCUUCGGUUGGGGCGACCAUGGGGGAAAGAAAAGCCCCCACGAGGAACAGGGACAACCCCUAAACUAAGAGAGACACCUCUAAGCAACAGAAAAU
rnacentral:rRNA from 1 species